rnacentral:rRNA from 1 species
GGUGAACGCUGGCGGUAGGCCUAACACAUGCAAGUCGAACGGCAGCACAGUAAGAGCUUGCUCUUACGGGUGGCGAGUGGCGGACGGGUGAGGAAUACAUCGGAAUCUACUUUUUCGUGGGGGAUAACGUAGGGAAACUUACGCUAAUACCGCAUACGACCUACGGGUGAAAGCAGGGGAUCUUCGGACCUUGCGCGAUUGAAUGAGCCGAUGUCGGAUUAGCUAGUUGGCGGGGUAAAGGCCCACCAAGGCGACGAUCCGUAGCUGGUCUGAGAGGAUGAUCAGCCACACUGGAACUGAGACACGGUCCAGACUCCUACGGGAGGCAGCAGUGGGGAAUAUUGGACAAUGGGCGCAAGCCUGAUCCAGCCAUACCGCGUGGGUGAAGAAGGCCUUCGGGUUAUAAAGCCCUUUUGUUGGGAAAGAAAAGCAGCAGGUUAAUACCCCGCUGUUCUGACGGUACCCAAAGAAUAAGCACCGGCUAACUUCGUG